CUUGCUUAUUAGUGGGAAGUGUUUGUAGCUCGUAGAAGUUGAGGGGUUAGGAACGCCUGUGGGGGCUGCCUGGGUGGGGUGGGAAAAGUAAGAACGAGCCAGGAGAGUGGGGUAUAAAGCUUUCUUUUGUUUCAGAGGAGAGGGUUUUGGAAGUGGGGGGUGGGGGGGAGCGGUGUGAGGUCUAUCUCUAUAAAGCCAGCCUCUCUCGGCAGUCCCCGUGCAGGUUUUUCUCCUCUCACAGGAGUUUAGGGCCUGUAAAAAGACAGCCUCCUGCCCCUCUCUAGAUCUAGAGAAAGCUUUUUUUCCUCUCUGCUGUCUGAGUCUGAAAAGUCUCUUCGUCGGCUUACUUCCCUCAACUGGAGGGAAGAAAGUCUUAAAAACUUAGGGGAGCUAAAGCAAAGCUGCGGUCUCUUCCUUGUUAGGGGAAGCUAUCCUUUUCCCCAAGAGUGAUUUUUUUCUGGGAAUGAGUGGUUCAGGGAACUAGUAGCUCGUGGAGGGGGAGGAGGGGAGGUAGGUAGGUAAGCUCUGCUGGCUGUAUGGCUGCAAACUUGCUUGUAACAUGACAGAGCUUGUCUGCAUGGAAGCCUGAAUUAGAGUACACGGACUUAGAAGGGAUAAUUUGCUGUCUCCUAAGAGCCAAACACUUGAGAGUUCCUAGCAGGCAGUGGCUCCUCAGCCCUUCCUCUGAUAGUGACAAACUCGAGACUUCCCUGCUCUUACUAGUUGAGGUCCCUUUGUUUCAAGCAACCCGUGGCCUGGCUUCUCUGACCAGGUCUUGGAGAUGAUAGUUCUACUUGCUUGUCUUCUGUCUUGAUCCUUGAAGCUUUCUAAAACCCCUCUGGGAACAACCUAUAGAGUAGGUGUGCUACUGGAAAAGCCAGGGCAGAUGUGAACUUAUAUCUGGCAAAACCUAAAUGGAGUUGGGAGACCCGCGUGUUUCUCUUCCAACUGGAAACAUCAACGUGGGUUGAAUUGGGACAGCAGGUGGUAGUUAGGGCCUCAGCCAUUGGAGAUGAGGAUUUUUUUCUUAGAUUGUACUAUUCAACUCCUAGGAGACCUCCCAGGGGAGUGCCCAAGUAGGAAUUGGACUGACUAGAGUUUCUCUAACAGAAUCAUAACUACAUAGCUCCUGGAAGCUCCCUGCUGGCCUAGGUUUGGGAUACCACACCUGCAGUCUUGCCUCACCUGAGAGGGCGAGUAGCUUGUAGAGCUCACACCACAGCUGUGAUGACUGCUACACCCACAGCGUCAUGGUGUUGAGCCUGGCCUGUCUGGAAAGGCCCAGUAUUAAACCAGACUCAGACUGAAUGCUCUAGAAGAAGUGAAGCCUAAGUGCAUGCAAGAGGAACUGGAGGGAAUUGGCAGGCAAAUGAUCACAUGGUGUGGUGGUCUGAGAAGCAGGAAAACCAGAGGCCUAGAGGUGGCUCAACCUGCUGACCUGGGGAAAGUGAGUGGAAAGUGCUGACCCUACUUGAAAAUCAGGCAAGGCUAUUUUUUGUGGAGUUGGCUCAGCUGAGCCAGCUCUGGGCCGAACUUGAUGAGGGCUUAAAUAGAAACUCCUAAGGUGUCGACUUCAUGUGCCGCUUCUAGGUGCUUCAGGAGCUGUUGCUUUUGUUUGGCUUGGAGGUGUGGGAUGGGCUGGCAGGAGCUGAUCUACUGUAGUGUCAGUGACUUCUAGCUGGAGCCUCAACCUCGGAUCCUCUGUGUGGGGAAAUGCCUUUGUGGUGAUGUGGUAUGACAGAAUAUGGGCUUGAGCUCAUCUGAGUUCGGUCCCUAGCUCUGUCACUUACUAGCUCUGAGAACUUGGACAAGUUGUUGCAAAAGUGGCUUAAACUGGGGUUUUGUGACUAGAUAAGACUAGUUAUAGACCAGUGCCCAUCACAGCAGGUGCUCAGUAAGAGUUGCUGGCUGGUAGAGUACCCCGCCCUCUCCCAACAGCUCACGUGGUUCUGUCAUGGGCGUCUUACUUAGUACCUAUGCUCCUCAGCGUGGAACUUCUGUUCAGCCGUAAGCAUCACUUGAACUUAAGUGCCUCGUAACCUCCCUGUAGCCUGGCAGGCUCGCUAAAUCUAGUUUGGUACCUCACUGUUGAACUUUCUCUCGCUCAGUCAGACCCUGCAGCUGGGAUUGUAUGCACCUGUUGUCCUGAGCAACUGCUUCAAAUGACGGUACCUUAAGGCAUGGAUGAAAGCUGCUUUGUUAAUUCCUCAAGGUCUAAAGCAUGGUUCACAAUGGAUUUCACAAGAUCAGAGAGGGCCCAGCUGGAAUAAGUGUCCUGGAUGACAAAGGAGCGCGCUUGUGAUUAUAUUGGACCAGUAAGAAGUACAGCCUGCUGAGUAUGUUGAGAUGACGAAUCCACCAAGAACAUCAGUCCACCCAAGGACUAUGACACUGAACCUUGGAGAUUACUGCAGGAUGUUACAAGCACUUUGCUUAUGUCCAAAAUUGUGAGAACCAUGAAGAAUCUUCAUGAAGAAGAAACAGGUGGCUUGAGCCCCAGACACUCUGGCCUAUGGUGCAGUCUCCUGUGGCCAUGUCUCAACAGUUCAGAUCUGGGUCUCUUUUCACAGGGGAUUUCAUGUGGUUGGAGGGAUUUUUCCACUCUCAGCCU
ensembl:lncRNA